AAAACACUAACUUUGACCAGCGUUUGUGACUAAGUGGCUACUACAAAAGACUGGAAAUACCCCAUUUGGAAUACCCUGGGUGGCUACAUUUAAAAAUGGUAUGGAAUGAUGGAGGAUGGAGUUCCCACUCAGCUUUUUCCUAUUCUUUGUUCUGUGUUCCAAGCCUCUUUCUGUCUUUACUUCCGGUUCCGGUUGGCGCACUCUUCAUUUCGUUACGUCCAUUAUUGAUGACGUAUGCGUUCCAAACCUCACAUCAUGCGGUUC